UUAAUUUUACAAACUUACAAUGAAAACCAUUUUCUUAAAAAGGGAAAUACGCACUAAAACUGCAUCACUUCCCAAUUAUUUUACUGUUAUCUAACCUAGGCUAUUUAUGGCUAUCGUAUCUGGGGGUGGACACACACCAUAUAAGGAUGUGGGCCAACUCGCCAUUCAUCAACGUCAGAUGGGUGCCUUGAUACCUGUCAGGGUAGGAAUGCUGACACCACAGACAUGAGUAAGAGCCACAUACUGGGGCCCCUCACCCCAUCCCAGAGGGCUGGCUGUGAAACAUUUUUCAGCGCACCACGGAGCUCAGCCUCUGCCCUCCGGGCCCCUCCAGUAGGGCUGGGCGCACAGCAGAGCUUAAUGAAGGCCGCCAAAGAAGAGGAGAGAAAGGAUGUGGGGUUUGCCUUGGGAAGCAGGAUGACUGGCUUCCAACAUCUGCCACCAAGUGCUGGCCCCUUUCCCCUCGGGGCUUUCCUGGGGACACAGCUAACAACUCCUGGUCUCCAACCUCUCAGUUUAUGGAAGAGGAAAGAACAGAAGGCAGGGUGGAUAAAUGGCUUGUUUCGGGGCACCCAGCAAGAUGCCCUUGCAACCUGUGCCGUGAGCGCUGGGAGCGCACACAGCAGGAGCUCUGCAGAGAAGAAAACCAAGAGAAGACUGGGUUCUGGUCUUCAACUCCCCUCAAGGUUGUCCUGAACAGGAUCCUCACCAAUGUCCUCUUGAUCUUUGUUGGACCCCAGCCUCUCGGACAGCCCCUUCUUGUUUGCAGUGAGGAGGCCUGAGCCAGGCCAUGAUGGGGGUAGGCGGGGUGGGGGCUGCCUAUGGGACAGGGGAACAGACGGUUGGAGCCAGCUUCACACGUCUAAGCCUGAGAGGCCACGGUGGUUGGAAGGGUGCACCAUGGUGGGGGCACUGGAGGGCUGGGUCCGGCUGCAGGUGGUGAUGGGGUUCACUGGUGCCGUAUAUCCCUGGUGAAGCAUGUGGGGCAUCUGGGGGUGGGAAGCUCAGAUUUUCUGACCUUACUUGACAGAGGAGUCGAGGUUCUCGAUUAGCUAAGAGCCCUUGUCUGGUGCCUGCUUGUGGCACUGGCCUUGGAGAGCCCAUGGGGGUUAUGCCGGCAGCGACCUCGGUGGCCUCCUCUGUUCUCCAUCCUGCCCCUCUUCACAGGGACAGAACUGCACGGCGUGAUGCGUGCGGGCCCUACAGCUCCACUUCAGGGUUCGCGUCUGGCAUGGACUUACUGGCCGUGCGUCCUUUGGCGAGUUAUUCAGCCCGUUUCCUCACCUGUGGAAUGGAGUGAGCACAACGGCAUCCCCGGCAUCCCCGGCAUCCCCGGCAUCCCCGGCAUCCCCGUCAUAGGCUGCUCAUGCCCUCUGGAGGGGGGUGAACUCAUCCAGGGCUCUUCUCUCCAGCAUCUGCAGCUCUCUGCUGUCCUCUAGCGGACGCUGACUGCGCCAUCCUGAGGGGACACCUGGCGUGCCCAGAAGAGGCCAUGUCUUCCUUCAGAUUCCAAAGGCCAUUUGCCAUGUGUGAUUACCUUGAACCCCAAUACAUUUCUGCAAACGUCCUUAUUCCACGGUUGAAGCCAAACUUUAUCACCCGCACCCCCAGCGUGGGGACAAGCUGGCCGUUUCCUCCCACCUGUGUCCUCCUCUCCGGGCCACAGUCUGGUGUGCAAACCGAGGAACAGCAGAGGCCGCGUCUGCUUGGCUCACAGCUCUGUCUCGGGGCCCAUUAGGGGCCGGGCGCAGCGCUGAGGCCCAGUGUCUGUGCGGAGCGGGGUGCGCACCCGGGGCAACCGUGUGGCCUCGCUGCUCCCUGCGCCUCCUUCCUCCUAUUGAGAGACCCCGCAGAGGGUCGGGGCGUCCACUGGGGCAUCACGGGG